AACGAACGCUGGCGGCAGGCCUAACACAUGCAAGUCGAACGCACCGCAAGGUGAGUGGCGCACGGGUGAGUAACACGUGGGAAUGGACCCUUUGGUUCGGAAUAACGCUUGGAAACGAACGCUAAUACCGGAUGAGCCCUGUGGGGGAAAGAUUUAUCGCCAAAGGAGCAGCCCGCGUCUGAUUAGGUAGUUGGUGGGGUAAAGGCCUACCAAGCCGACGAUCAGUAGCUGGUCUGAGAGGAUGAUCAGCCACACUGGGACUGAGACACGGCCCGGAAUCCUACGGGAGGCAGCAGUGGGGAAUAUUGGACAAUGGGCGCAAGCCUGAUCCAGCCAUGCCGCGUGAGUGAUGAAGGCCUUCGGGUUGUAAAGCUCUUUCGCACACGACGAUGAUGACGGUAGUGUGAGAAGAAGCACCGGCUAACUUCGUGCCAGCCGCCGCGGUAACAC
rnacentral:rRNA from 1 species